rnacentral:rRNA from 1 species
AUACGGAGGGUCCGAGCGUUAAUCGGAAUUACUGGGCGUAAAGCGCGCGUAGGCGGCUAUAUAAGUCAGAUGUGAAAUCCCUGGGCUCAACCUAGGAACUGCAUUUGAAACUGUAUGGCUAGAGUAUGGUAGAGGUGAGUGGAAUUUCAGGUGUAGCGGUGAAAUGCGUAGAGAUCUGAAGGAACAUCAGUGGCGAAGGCGACUCACUGGGCCAUUACUGACGCUGAGGUGCGAAAGCGUGGGUAGCAAACAGGAUUAGAUACCCUUGUAGUCC